AAAAAUGCCCCCCAGCUAAGUAAUACCAGUUCUUCUUCGUAUUUCAGUUUCCAUUUUUUUUUCAUUUUCAUUUCAUGGAAACUGAAACAGCUCUCACGAGCGAAGAAAAAAACACAAAAUCUGAUCUCGUUUUCAAUCUUCAAACCUAAUUACGAUGGUCAAACAAUUACUGGAUUCAUCUUGAAAAAUUUAAAUCGUCAUCAUCAGUUCCUUCUCACGAAGAUUAACUCAAAAUUGAUGAAUUACAACAAAUUAGUAUGAAGAUUUCAUCAAUUGAAAGUGGAAUGAUCAAGGGGCGAUUCAAACCUCUGACUCUAUCUGGAGCAAAACAUUCCCUCCUAAUUCAAGGAGGGUUCAUGAUGGUCGACCUGUAGUUUUUAUCAAGUACAGCAGUUAAUUUAAUUCAGAACACACUGUCUAUUACUGUUUCAAUUUUUAGGUGCUCUAGCAAUUGCAGUUGCCAAUCCUAAUAGUCUUGUGAAAGUCCAACUUCAAUUGGAAGGAAAGUAGUCGCCUCCAAGACGUUUUUCUGGAGCGUUGAACGCUUACUCUACAAUUUUUUAGCAGGGAGGAAUUAAGCUUUUUGGACUGGCAUUGGGCCUAACGUAGAUCGAUAUGCUUAUAAAUGUUGCUGAACUGGCUAGUUAUGAUCAAAUUAAACGGGUGACUGAUACGAAGAGUGUUGAAGUACACAUGGGAUCACCAAUGAUGGGAUCACUGAAGUAAAGGAUAUCGUGCACGCAGAGCUGGUAGGAGGAUUUUCCUUCCAAAAGGUUAAACAGAAGUUACUUUCGGUGAGUGGGUCAGAUGCACAGUUGCUCCAUAAUUUUAUAAUACCCAUUCUUCGUGAACACAUGUCGUAAGUUAAUAAUUGCCAAAUGACCAUAUGCGAGUUGACAAAUAAUUCCAAAAAGCUGUGGAAUCUGAAAUCGACAUACAGGUAAUUGAGGAUUAACUAUAUAUUUCUUUUAUCUUACUCGAGUAGUCAUAAGUUUGUGUGUAAAGCCGAUGGGAUCUGAUUAGGAAUGUUCCAAUAUCAUGUAUCUUCUUUUCAAGUAUAAUUAUUCUUUGAUUUGAAAUGUAUGUGAUUUGACAGCAACAUUUGUGAGAUAUUGUGAUUUGGAUAGGGAAUUUAAUCAAUAAAUGACUUUGGAAUUUUAUUUGUAGUGUAAUAAUGUCUAUGUGGAGGUGAUAGUGACUAUUGAUAAAUCUCAUAAGAAGCAAGUUUGCCUUUUGAUUUUAUUUAGUACUUCAGUCGUUUCAGCUAUUUUCAUGUUGAUUAUUAAUGUGCACAUGAUUGUACACCUGUUGACUUUAAUGUGUAUAUAGUUGUACACAUGUUGAAAUUUUCAGGGUUGUGCGUCCCAAUCUCCAAGCUUUGUUGGUUGUUGUCGUAAGUUAACCGCAGAAGCAAGUGAUCAAGUGAGUGCAGGUAGGAAGACUGUUCUUACUUCCUGGACCACUUCCCCAAUCUCCAAGCUUUAUUGGAUGCUAUCAUAAGUUAACCGCAGAAGCAAGUGAUCAAGUGAGUGCAGGUGAGAAGACUGUUCUUACUUCCUGGACCACUUCUAAACAACUUUUAAAGUCUGACACUGGAUAUUCUAGAAACACAUUACUUCAUCCGCUGAUUCCAUGGUUCAGAUUUCUCUGGCUUAUUAGCCUUGCUGCACCUUACAAGGUAGUAUUACGUGCUCAUUUAUAUAGUGGUGUUGUGGUUGAAUGCCGAAUUCAGGCUGUGCACAGAAGUACCAUAGAAUGUUGGCGUCCAAGGUAAUGAAGAAGGAAACGUACAAGAACAGGUCACUCAGAGUUUGAAAGUUGAAAUUAAAGUAAUCAAAGCUCAGAUUUGGGACACUUCUGGUCAAGAAAGAAAAAAAACCAGGGCUGAUAGUAUCGAUGCUUGCUGGUAACCCAAAGAUUCUUGAGCAUCUCAAUGCAAUUAAUGAGUUUCUUAAAUCAGAUAAGGUGUAUAGGCUCGGUAUUCCAGUUUCUUCUAACAAUGCUUCUACAUCAAUUCAGCUACUAUUUCAGACAAGCAAGAUGUUUUUGGCUCUACUCGACGUUAAGAACUUGUUAGUUCAUCAGGUAUGAUGGUUAACUGCUAAAUCAUCCUCUGCAAAUUCGGCUAUUAUCCAAUUAGAGCUUGGCGUGGUUGAUAUUUUUGUCAGUAUGUGUAGAUUAGAGUGGUAGUCUGGCUAUAAUUGAUGUUGAGUUUUAUGGAUUUUUGUCGAUAUGUACGUAGUUGUACACCAGUGUAAAAAAAAACUUAAAAUGAAAAUUAUAUAGUUAUAAGGGUACUCUUUUUUAUAGAUCUCGGAAAGAGCUUUUCGAAAAUAUAAAGUUUCCGAUUUUUGGA